AUAAAACACAAAAAUACACAUGCCCUACAUAUUACAUAUUACAUAUUACAUGCCAUUCAAGCAUUCUAACUGUUGAUCAUUUAGGAUGUGUAGUGGAAGACAUUUCAAAGAGAAUCAGAGCUUACACGCAAAGGACUUAUAAAAUAAUUAAACAUGUGACAGACAUAUAGUUUAAGCUUCUAAGGGGCGGGUUUUAGACUGACUUUGGGGUGGCAUUUUUGUUGGACCUGGCAACCCUGCACACAAACAGAAGUUACGUCCAACCAUUCAUCACACACACCACUCAAACUCAAACGCCGCGGGAAAAAGUCGCAUGCUGUCACUCUCCGCCGAUUAUUCGAUAUAAAAUCACACGCUGCGAUGUUUAAUCACCGAGACUGUGAUGUUAAGCUGUCUGUGGAGGAAACCUGUCCACACCCAAGUGCUGCACAGCGCCGGACAGGUGAAGAUGAGGACCUGCUCAAUCCUGACUUUACCCACACAACCCGCUGUGGAUUCCUCAAAUGUGUAGUAUAGGCAGACUGACUCUGAUGAACUGGAUGUGGACUGGAGGUAGACUGGAGAGAACUGUCUGGGAGAGUUUGUUUUGUCUGUCUGCUUUUAUUUGUGGGCGUUUUCACACUUGCACUUUUAGCCUGGUUUAUAGUAGUAUCUUUCUUGGUCUUUUUUUAUCAUGAUCUUCCUCCUCAUGAUGUAAAGCAUGGUGCUGUUGGAUUUUGACACAGAGAAAAACCCAAGUUUACAACCUAUUUGAUUUGAGCCAAAGCAAACCAACUAUAGGUGUGAAAAUGCCCAAUGUCUUAAAAUAAUUCUUAACCUGUGUGUGUUUUUAUGUUCAGUUUUUUAGCACACUUCUUCCAUUGCAUUUAGGCAGAGUAUCAUUAUGUUGGCAAUAAUGGUUUGUGAUCAAGCUUAGAUAGGGCAUAAAAAAACAGCCUGACUCUACCCGAACCCAUGCAUGCUCUGUCUGAGCUCGACCUAUAAACUGACGUUACGAGCCCGAUUUAAACCAGUAGAGCUUCUUCACUCCAAUUCCAAGUUGUAGGUGCCUGUACUGUACUGUAUUUCUGCCCCCAAAACUUUCCAUUGUCUUGCCCGGUGGCUGCAUUCACUCCCCUUUCUUUAGUUAAAAAAAAAAUAGGUGUGCAGCCUGGUGAUUUGCAGAUAUGCGUAGCUUUUAGUUUUAGUUGUGCGGAAGGCUGCGACUGGGGACAUGUGGAGGAGGUCGCAUGUGAGCAUUGUGCAGGCCAGUCCUGCAGGAUUAUAAAAUUUACAACUUUCACAGUUCGAUUUGUUACAUUGCUAAACUGUGAUUAUCACACCAUAGCUUUAUAUAAAAUUUAAAAAUAGCAUUAAAAAGGCCCGACCCGGCCUGACUGCAGGUUGGGAAUCGGGUCAGGCUCUGGCUCAGGCAGACAACCUAAACUCUAGUUCAGGAUCAUAAUUUGACUCACUAUAGUCACAUUAGGAAGCUGGAUUAAAAUUUUCUAUAAACUAUAUACACUGUAUUGCCAAUAGUAUCCACUUGAUUGCAUUGUGUUAGGUGAUGGGUUUUUAAUGGCCGAUUAGCUCCAUUCAAAUCUUACAUUUCAUAAAGCUCUACACUCUACUGUUCUUGAUCUAGCCUGAAGCUGCAUGAAGUUUGGAGGUGUGUAGUAAUGUAGUGACUUUGCAGAA
rnacentral:lncRNA from 1 species